GUCCACGCCGUAAACGGUGGGUACUAGGUGUGGGGGACAUUCCACGUUCUCCGUGCCGUAGCUAACGCAUUAAGUACCCCGCCUGGGGAGUACGGCCGCAAGGCUAAAAACUCAAAGGAAUUGACGGGGCCCCGCACAAGCGGCGGAGCAUGCGGAUUAAUUCGAUGCAACGCGAAGAACCUUACCUGGGUUUGACAUAUGCCGGAAACAGUCAGAGAUGGCUGCCCCUUUUUGGCGGUUUACAGGUGGUGCAUGGCUGUCGU
rnacentral:rRNA from 1 species